UACGUAGGGGGCAAGCGUUGUCCGGAUUUAUUGAGCGUAAAGAGCGUGUAGGCGGCCAGGUAGGUCCGUUGUGAAAACUCGAGGCUCAACCUCGAGACGUCGGCGGAAACCCUCUGGCUAGAGUCCGGAAGAGGAGAGUGGAAUUCCUGGUGUAGCGGUGAAAUGCGCAGAUAUCAGGAGGAACACCUAUUGCGAAGGCAGCUCGCUGGGACGUAACUGACGCUGGAGACGCGAAAGCGUGGGGAGCAAACAGG
rnacentral:rRNA from 1 species